UUCCAGACUCCUACGGGAGGCAGCAGUGAGGAAUAUUGGUCAAUGGGCGCGAGCCUGAACCAGCCAAGUAGCGUGAAGGAUGACUGCCCUACGGGUUGUAAACUUCUUUUAUAAAGGAAUAAAGUGAGGCACGUGUGCCUUUUUGUAUGUACUUUAUGAAUAAGGAUCGGCUAACUCCGUGCCAGCAGCCGCGGUAAUACGGAGGAUCCGAGCGUUAUCCGGAUUUAUUGGGUUUAAAGGGAGCGUAGGCCGGCUUUUAAGUCAGCUGUGAAAGUCCGCGGCUCAACCGUGGAAUUGCAGUUGAAACUGGAGGCCUUGAGUGCACACAGGGAUGCCGGAAUUCAUGGUGUAGCGGUGAAAUGCUUAGAUAUCAUGAAGAACUCCGAUCGCGAAGGCAAGUGUCCGGGGUGCAACUGACGCUGAGGCUCGAAAGUGCGGGUAUCAAACAGGAUUAGAUACCCGAGUA
rnacentral:rRNA from 1 species